rnacentral:rRNA from 1 species
CAGUCGCCGCGGUAAUACAGAGGAUGCAAGCGUUAUCCGGAAUGAUUGGGCGUAAAGCGUCUGUAGGUGGCUUCUCAAGUCCGCCGUCAAAUCCCAGGGCUCAACCCUGGACAGGCGGUGGAAACUACCAAGCUAGAGUACGGUAGGGGCAGAGGGAAUUUCCGGUGGAGCGGUGAAAUGCGUUGAGAUCGAAAAGAACACCAACGACGAAAGCACUCUGUUGGGUCGACACUGACACUGAGAGACGAAAGCUAGGGGAGCAAAUGGGAUUAGAUACCCGCGUAGUCCCUGUCUCUUAUAC